GGGAUCUGUCAACAGAUAUCAGGGGACCUUCAGGCUGCCCUGUACUCAUACCAACAGUCACUCAGACAAUAUCCAUUCCAUAAAAUACAAACUGCUACCAGACAGAGAAUUCAGGAUCUACAUUUAUGAACUCACUGACAAUUAAGUAAAGUAUGGAAUUCCUGUGUGUCAAACACUGACAUUGUUAAUUGUGUUUGUUCUGAUCGGUUUUUCUAUAAAAGUUGUAUUGUGUAUGUGUAAAGGAAGGGAUACCCUUAUGAUUUAUUUAACCCAGUAAAUAAAUGUAUAUUUAUCUU
rnacentral:misc_RNA from 1 species